GAUAUUGGCGUAUUUUCCAUAGAAACAUGGAACUCAAAACUAACUCUUUUAGCACUGCUACUUUCACAGUGAAAAUUAUAUUAUAAGGGUCACAU